rnacentral:rRNA from 1 species
GUGGGGAAUAUUGGACAAUGGGCGAAAGCCUGAUCCAGCCAUGCCGCGUGUGUGAAGAAGGUCUUCGGAUUGUAAAGCACUUUAAGUUGGGAGGAAGGGCAGUAAGUUAAUACCUUGCUGUUUUGACGUUACCGACAGAAUAAGCACCGGCUAACUUCGUGCCAGCAGCCGCGGUAAUACGAAGGGUGCAAGCGUUAAUCGGAAUUACUGGGCGCAAAGCGCGCGUAGGUGGUUUUGUAAGUUGGAGGUGAAAUCCCCGGGCUCAACCUGGGAACUGCCUCCAAAACUGCAUGACUAGAGUACGGUAGAGGGUAGUGGAAUUUCCUGUGUAGCGGUGAAAUGCGUAGAUAUAGGAAGGAACACCAGUGGCGAAGGCGACUACCUGGACUGAUACUGACACUGAGGUGCGAAAGCGUGGGGAGCAAACAGGAUUAGAAACCCCUGUAGUCC